ACCACUCAACUACAUCCAUUGCGGUCCCAUUUGAUUUACUCAUUCAGACAAAAAGUCUUAAAUUUUCUAACCUCCUAUAUGCCUCCAUUUAAUUUCCUCUCUAUGUUAGGCAUAAAUUAAAGUAGAACAUUAUAUUAUUUUGAAAGUUGGGUUUUCCUCUGUAUAUUUCUCCUCUGCUGGUUAUAGUUGCAAGAAAGACAGUGAUGGAGGGAAAAGUUGAGGCAAUAUCCAAGGAGCUACACGAUAAUAAUGGAAUUCAUUGUGAAACAAAAUUGGAGCAGGAAGGAAAAUCAGUAACACAAGAGAUCAAACAAGUAAAUUGCGAUGACAAAAUCAAUGAAGAAGAGAAAAAGAAGAUUUCUCUCGUGAGAGCUCUUGCUGAAAAGCAAGAUCCAUCUUCCAAGGAAGUCGAUGAUUUUGCGAUAAGAAGGUUUCUUCGAGCAAGGGAUCUGGACGUGGACAAAGCUUCAGCAAUGUUGUUGAAAUACCUAAAAUGGAAGAAAAGCUUUGUACCAAAUGGGUUUAUUUCACCUAGUGAGAUUCCAAACGAGAUAGCACACAACAAAAUGUUCUUGCAAGGUGUGGAUAAACAAGGACGCCCUAUUGCUGUCGUUUUUGGUGGCAGACAUAUGCAGAACAAACUAGGAGGCCUUGACGAGUUCAAACGGUUUGUGGUAUUGGCUUUAGAGAAACUCUGUUCAAGGACUUCACCAGGAAGGGAAAAGUUUGUGGUAAUUGGGGAUCUCCAAGGUUUUGGCUAUUCCAAUAGUGAUGCUCGUGCAUACCUUGGGGCUCUAUCCAUUUUACAGGACUGUUACCCUGAAAGACUUGGAAAGCUGAUUGUUGUUCAUGUCCCUUACCUAUUCUGGACAAUGUGGAAAAUUGUGUAUCCUUUUAUUGAUAACAACACCAAGAAGAAGAUCACAUUUGUGGAAAACAAACGACUCACGACAACUCUACUUCAAGACAUUGAUGAAAGCCAGCUACCAGAGAUUUAUGGCGGCAAAAUGCCAUUAGUUCCUAUUCAUGAAGCCUAAGCAAGUAGUUACACAUCAUUAUUAUUCGGAGCACCAUUUUGAGGAGUUUCAGGUCCUCUGUAGUUUCAACAAAAGCAAGACUGAUUGCCAUCAAGCCGGUUUUGCACCUAGCUUUUAGUAAUCAGUCAUUUCUAGGAAAGAGGAAUAUUUGUUGCCGAUUUGGAGUUCUGAUGGGAUAUAUUGUUGAGGUUAUACACAAGUACAAGCAUGAUUCUACUCUGGCGUGUAGCUCAUGACACUGUCAUACAUGAAUGGCCUGCAUAUUUAUUCAGAGCAGUUAAGAACUACAACGGUUUUCCAAAGUUGAAGGAGAAAUUGAAGACAAAUUAUAUUCAGCACGGUGUAAAUGGCUGCAGAUAUUAGUGAAGAUCCAAAAAAACAAAUACCUCACUGAAUCUUCUCUAUCAUUCCUACUUGCAACAUAUCUAACAUUCCAGGCCCAGUCUCAGAGAUUUGUUACCUACUGGUGUACACACUUCUAAGGGGCAACCAAUUUAACCCUUUCAGACCUGAUUCAUACUAACUAACUUAACUGACUAAUACUAAGUUAAUCAGAGAAACUGUUUUGCAGUUUUACUGUUUUAGCAAGAGUCAGGACAUCUAUUAUUUGCUCUAACUGGCACAGCACAGAAGAGUCGGAUAUUCCAAAAUUUAAGAUCCCUUUGUAAAGGAGAAACAUAAAAAGCAGCCUAGAUUCAUCCUUCACCUGAGAAGAAGAUUACAAAAACUUCUAUGUAUGUCUUAAGUUAAACAAGUCAUUCUGUUUACAGGGUA